GCCUCCAUAGCUCAGCGGAUUAGAGCAACGGGCUUCUACCCCGUGUGUCGUAGGUUCGAAUCCUACUGGGGGUGCCC
rnacentral:tRNA from 1 species